rnacentral:rRNA from 1 species
AUUGAACGCUGGCGGCAGGCCUAACACAUGCAAGUCGAGCGGAGCGGCGGACGGGCGAGUAAUGCCUAGGAAUCUGCCUGGUAGUGGGGGAGAACUUCCGGAAACGGGCGCUAAUACCGCAUACUAUCAGAUGAGUCUAGGUCGGGUUAGCUAGUUGGUGGGGUAAAGGCCUACCAAGGCGACGAUCCGUAACUGGGCUGAGAGGCUGAUCAGUCACACUGGAACUGAGACACGGUCCAGCCUCCUACGGGAGGCAGCAUUGGUGAAUAUUGGACAAUGGGCGAAAGCCUGAUCCAGCCAUGCCGCGUGUGUGAAGAAGGUCUUCGGAUUGUAAAGCACUUUGAGUUGGGAGGCGUUACCAACAGAAUAAACACCGGCUAACUUCGUGCCAGCAGCCGCGGUAAUUC